UUUUUUUCCGUUGAUAUUUUUAAUAAAGUCGUUUCGGUACAUUUCAGGGCGCAACGAAAAUAAAAAAUUCUUACACGUGUUGUUUUACGUUCGGAAAUUCGGAACGUCGACUUCAUUCGAGGUAUAAUAUCAUCACCGUGCCGUCUGAUUAUUCGUCAUUACAUUUUUGAACGCGUCGAGAAAAAACGUCGAGAUAACAUUCGUCUCGUUACCACCGCGCAAACCACGGAAAUUAUUUACAAUCCUAAUGUAAGUGUGCAUUGCAAUAUGCGUCAAGAGAACGUGCCAAUUACCGUGUUUCAGUGGUGGCGAAUUUCGCGA